CCUACGGGUGGCAGCAGUGAGGAAUAUUUGUCAAUGGGCGCAAGCCUGAACCAGCCAUGCCGCGUGAAGGAAGACGGCCCUACGGGUUGUAAACUCCUUUUAUAUGGGGGUAAAGUGAGACACGUGUACCUGUAUGUAUGUACAUUACGAAUAAGGAUCGGUUAACUCCGUGCCAGCAGCCGCGGCAAUCCGGAGGAUUCAAGCGUUAGCCGGAUGUAUUGGGUUUAACGGGUGCGUAGGGUGUGUGGUAAGUUCGAGGUGAAAGCCCGGGGCUAAACUCCUGAACUGCAUAUGAUACUGGGAGGCUAGAGUGUAGGAGCGGGAGGGGGAAUGUCGGGUGUAGCCGUGAAAUGCGUAGAGAUCAUGAAGAACACCGAUGGCGAAGGCAGCUUACUGAACUACAACUGACGUUGAGGCACGAAAGCGUGGGGAGCAAACAGGAUUAGAUACCCUAGUAGUC
rnacentral:rRNA from 1 species